AGAGUUUGAUCCUGGCUCAGGCUAAACGCUAUCGGAGUGCAUAACACAUGCAAGUCGAACGGAUCCGCAGUAAUGCGGGUUAGUGGCAAACGGGCGAGUAACACGUGCCUAACCUGCCCUUGAGUGUAGAACAACUGUGGAAACGCAGCUAAUUCUGCAUAUAUUAUGGAGAAGAGAGUAUUCAUAAAGAAAGAGCAAUCGCUUGAGGAAGGGGGCGCGGACCACCAGCUAGUUGGUAAGGUAAAGGCUUACCAAGGCUAUGACGGAUAGCUGGUUUGAGAGGAUGACCAGCCGCAAUGGGACUGAGACACGGCCCAUACCCCUACGGGGGGCGGCAGUGGGGAAUAUUGCGCAAUGUGGGAAACCAUGACGCAGCGACUCUGCGUGAAGGAUGAAGCCUUAAGGGGUGUAAACCUCUUUUCUGGGGGACGACGACUGACGGUACCCCAGGAAUAAGGGACGGCUAACUACGUGCCAGCAGCCGCGGUAAUACGUAGGUCCCGAGCGUUAUCCGGAAUUACUGGGUGUAAAGGGCCCGUAGCCGGAUGUAUAAGUCUGCUUUCAAAUACCAUGACUUAAUUAUGGGAAGGGGGUAGAUACUGUAAAUCUGGAGACUAAUGGAGGUCAGUGGAAUUCCCGGUGGAGGGGUGAAAUCCGUUGAUAUUGGGAGGAAUGCCAAAAGCGAAAGCAGCUGACUAUGUUAGAUCUGGCGGUAAAGGACGAAAGCUUGGGUAGCAAACGGGAUUAGAUACCCCGGUAGUCCAAGCUGUAAACUAUGCCCGCUAGAUAUCUCAGAGCGAUCUGGGGUAUUGUAAGUCAACACGUUAAGCGGACCACCUGGGGAGUAUAGUCGCAAGACCGAAACUCAAAGGGAUAGGGCGGGGGAAC
rnacentral:rRNA from 1 species